CAGGCAGACACAGAAGACACUCAGUAUUAGGAGCACAGCUAACACUCAGCAACAGGAAUGCAUAUUUCAUUAUACUCAACUGGUUAGCGACCAUUACUAAUGAGCUGCAUGUCUACCAGCUGCAGAUGUAGAAACAUUUACACUGUGUGUGUCUGUGAAUUGUUGGUUCAGACUUCACACUGCCAGAGGCAAUAAACAAAUCAUUCUGCUUUGCUUCCUCCCCCACAUCCCUUCUCCUCCUCCCUGCUCUGCCUCUCUCUAUCCCUCUGGGCACCCAAGCAGAGAGAGAGGAAGAAAAAUAGAGAGAGAGUGAGAGGGAAAGUGGGAGUAAGAAGGUGGAAUGUUGAAUGCAGCAGAACAGUGGACCUGAUGGGUAAUUCUGUGACUGAGCCUGAAGUUUUGGUUUGGCUUGUGGCUCACACAAAGCAGGACUACAUUGCCGCGCAGGACUACAUUACCGCGCAUGUCUACCUUACAGCGCGGGACUACAUUACCGUGCGGGACUACAUUACCGCGAAUGUCUACAUUACCGUGCAGGCGCAGGACUACCUUACCGCGCAAGACUACAUUACCGCGAAUGUCUACAUUACCGCGCAGCGCAGGACUACCUUACCGCGCAGGUCUACCUUAACGCGCAGGACUACAUUACCGCGCAGGACUACAUUACCGCGCAGGACUACAUUACCGUGCAGGACUACAUUACCGCGCAUGUCUACCUUACCGCGCAUGUCUACCUUACCGCGCAUGUCUACCUUACCGCGCAGGUCUACGUUACCACACAGGACUACAUUACCACGCCAGUAGAUAAAAGGAUUAAAGCAAACAAAGGGACAGAGGGAGCAUGUGGAAGCAUGCAAGUCGGCUUUUGAACUAGGAGUGUGUGAAAGUGUGUGUAACAGAGAGACAGUGUGUGUGGCAUGUCUGAGUAGUGCGCACCAUUCCUACUUGUGGGUCAAGCUUGGACUUGAGGCUAGUGGGGCUCUUAUCGGAACUAGCUGUAAUGCAUUCCCAGAGAUUAAUCUUCUCCUGGUAUCAGCAAGGCUAUCACACUGCUGCAGAUAGGAGGUGAAGUGGGACGGUGAUGCACCAUAGGAGCUGAUAACUCCAGCAGGAAGUGGAGCAGGGCCAGGUGAAGCAGCCGAGGUCACAGACCUACCUCCAGGGGACUACUGGGUCUUUCUAGAGAUCAGACAGUGUACCUGUGCCCGCGGAUGUCAGACUGGUCACACACCCCUCCCAGGGCAAUGCGGUGGAACUCCCUGCCCAGGGUACGGGCGAUGGAGCGCCCCACACUGGUCUUUCCCACCCCAGGCGGCCCCACGAAGCAC